AGAGUGAACGCUGGCGGUAGGCCUAACACAUGCAAGUCGAACGGCAGCACAGUGGUAGCAAUACCAUGGGUGGCGAGUGGCGGACGGGUGAGGAAUACAUCGGAAUCUACCUUUUCGUGGGGGAUAACGUAGGGAAACUUACGCUAAUACCGCAUACGCCCUUCGGGGGAAAGCCGGGGAUCGCAAGACCUGGCGCGGAUAGAUGAGCCGAUGUCGGAUUAGCUAGUUGGUGAGGUAAUGGCUCACCAAGGCGACGAUCCGUAGCUGGUCUGAGAGGAUGAUCAGCCACACUGGAACUGAGACACGGUCCAGACUCCGUACGGGAGGCAGCAGUAGGGAAUAUUGGACAAGUGGGACGAAAGCCUGAUCCAGCAAUGCCGCGUGAGUGA
rnacentral:rRNA from 1 species